GACGAACGCUGGCGGCGUGCUUAAUACAUGCAAGUCAACUUGACUUUAGAUAGCAAUAUCGAAAGUAGGGUGGCGCACGGGUGCGUAACGCGUAGGUAAUCUGCCCUGAGGUCUGACAUAACCCGUCGAAAGGCGGGCUAACAUCAGAUGAUAUAUAAUCACGACAUCGUGGAAAUAUCAAAUCUUCGGAGCCUUGGGAUGAGCCUGCGUCUGAUUAGGUAGUUGGCGGAGUAAUAGCCCACCAAGCCUACGAUCAGUAGCUGGUCUGAGAGGAUGAUCAGCCACACUGGAACUGAGACACGGUCCAGACUCCUACGGGAGGCAGCAGUAAGGAAUAUUGCUCAAUGGGGGAAACCCUGAAGCAGCAACGCCGCGUGAAGGAUGAAAUAACUUUUGUAUGUAAACUUCUGUAAGAUGGGAAAAAAUAUUACUCCUCGGAGAAUUGAUUGUA
rnacentral:rRNA from 1 species